rnacentral:rRNA from 1 species
CCUACGGGCGGCUGCAGUGGGGAAUAUUGCACAAUGGGCGCAAGCCUGAUGCAGCCAUGCCGCGUGUGUGAAGAAGGCCUUCGGGUUGUAAAGCACUUUCAGCGGGGAGGAAGGCGUUAAGGUUAACAACCUUGGCGAUUGACGUUACCCGCAGAAGAAGCACCGGCUAACUCCGUGCCAGCAGCCGCGGUAAUACGGAGGGUGCAAGCGUUAAUCGGAAUUACUGGGCGUAAAGCGCACGCAGGCGGUCUGUCAAGUCGGAUGUGAAAUCCCCGGGCUCAACCUGGGAACUGCAUUCGAAACUGGCAGGCUAGAGUCUUGUAGAGGGGGGUAGAAUUCCAGGUGUAGCGGUGAAAUGCGUAGAGAUCUGGAGGAAUACCGGUGGCGAAGGCGGCCCCCUGGACAAAGACUGACGCUCAGGUGCGAAAGCGUGGGGAGCAAACAGGAUUAGAUACCCGGGUAGUC